UGGGGUUGCAUGCCACAAAGUUAUUUUGUUUCACAAAUGAAAAGACUUUCAAUGCAAGUGAACUGCCGAGUGAAUUGUCGGGAGAAACUAUUCCUACAAGGAGAUAUUUUCGAUGACCAAAGAAGAUUUUUUUGUCCAAGAUCCAGAUUUCAAACAUCCAAUGAAUAUGGAAGGAAUUGUUCAACAAGGUGUCCCACUCCAUCCACAUGAAGACGUGGAUAUAGCCCCAUUUAUGGAACCCCAGCAUACUUGGAUCAAGACAUUAGUCAAAUGCCUUGGCUCUGGAACAGUAACAUUUGUUGUUUCCACUGAAUCGAAGUUCUACAAACCGGAUAUCCAGCAGGACAGUCUCACGGAAAAUGAGGCCUUCCAAUACCUCGUCUACAUCUUGGAGCAUAGGUGAAGGAAUCCAAGUCGUUGUGGACAUCAUCAACCAGUCACCUUGUUCAGUCACGCUCAAGUACAUAUUGUACAGGAAGCAAAGUCGGAUUUCCCCAGGUAGGAGGAUAACUGGAGUGUUUCCGAUUGUGAGGAAAAAAGCCAAGCCUCUUCGCCCUCACAGCAAAGGGACUGUAAGGGAUGUGAUCACCAUCCCGAGAGGGAUACCUCCCACCAUCUCGAUGGGUUCACCCGUCGAACUUCAGUACAUAUUGAAGAUCUGUUUGGGUAUGACUGGCUCAAGCUCCACUUACCUCAGCAUGCCAAUAGUUGUACUACCCACCAGUCUGCAUUCCAUCAAACAACAUCAAAAGUUGCUGAAGGCUUUAACUUUGGGAGAUACUCUAUAUCCAAACCCAAACCAGCAAAUACGGAGUGGCGGAAACCCACCACGAAAACCCCGAUCUAUGGACACCCCUAUGAAUUACUGAGCUGAUGAAAAUGGGAAGCUAUUGCUCUGUAUUGCUUAUCUUGUACAUGGAAUCCAUACAAUGUAAACAGAUUUCAUCCAAGCAUGGUGUGUAUAAGACCUUUCAAAGUUGCUCAUAGGUGGCAAUCGUUUGUUAUUGAUUCAAUGAAGUGGAUGUACAGUACAAGCAAACAAAUUGCAACAAAAUGGCUGUAUGUAGAUAUGUACAGUGUACAGUUGUGUAUUCAUAUUUAUGUGUGUAUAUGUUUUAUAUGAUAUUUAAUAUGAUAUUUUUUUUUUUAAUUUGUAAUGAAUUAUGUUAACACACACAAAAAAAAAACAAGACAUAUCAUUGGUUUUAGGCAGUUCACCGUAUACACACAAAACUCAUCAACUUACAACUCAUCAUCGACAGUGACCCCGAUUAUAUUGUUCAGGGCCAGUGGCGGAGAAUGGUACAUACAGCUGCAUAAUUUGUUGCGCACACUGAAAUAAAUGGAAUUCCUACUUCAGUCUUAA